UACAGAGGUCCCAAGCGUUGUUCGGAUUCACUGGGCGUAAAGGGUGCGUAGGCGGUCGGCUAGUCCGGGGUGAAAGCCCCCAGCUCAACUGGGGAAGGGCCUUGGAAACUGCCGGUCUUGAGGGAGGUAGGGGCCUGUGGAACUUCUGGUGGAGCGGUGAAAUGCGUUGAUAUCCGAAGGAACGCCGGUGGCGAAAGCGACGGGCUGGAUCUCUUCUGACGCUGAGGCGCGAAAGCUAGGGUAGCGAACGGG
rnacentral:rRNA from 1 species